UACGAGGGGGCGCAGCGUUAGUUCCGGAAUUAUUGGGCGUAAAGGGCGCGUAGGCGGUCGGAUAAGUCUUGUGUGAAAUCUUCGGGCUCAACUCGAAGUCUGCACAGGAAACUAUCUGGCUUGAGUGUGGGGAGAGGUGAGUGGAAUUCCUGGUGUAGCGGUGAAAUGCGUAGAUAUCAGGAGGAACACCUGUGGCGAAAAGCGGCUCACUGGACCACAACUGACGCUGAGGCGCGAAAGCGUGGGGAGCAAACAGG
rnacentral:rRNA from 1 species